rnacentral:tRNA from 1 species
GGGGGUAUGGUGUAGCCUGGUUAGCAUUGGUGCUUUGGGAGCAUCAGACAGCAGUUCAAAUCUGCUUACCCUCA